UCCCGCCUACCCACCCCACCCCCGGACCAAGAGGCCCUGAGUCACCGACCAGAAAUGCGCGACCCCCGGCCUUGGCCCACGCAGUGGAGCUGCAGUUCCGGGCGGCGCUCUGAAUUGCGCUCCGGCGAGGGGUUCUAGCCUAGAUUCCGAUCCGUGGGGGAGCCGCCCAGAGGAAGGUUUGGAAGCUGGUGCACUUGACAUUCGGGGAGAGCGAAGGGGGAGCGACAUUGUCUCGCAGCGAGGGCGAGGAGAAUGGAGAUACAAUCAGUGUACAUCUUUCAUUGGCCCGGGGUUCCGGGCUUUUAUGACACUUUCCUACAUCCUGCCUCGCUGUCCCCUGGAUAACUCUGAGGUAUCUUCAUCACUGUUUCAUCAGAAAACAGAAGCCAGAAUGGCCCGGCGAUUCCCCAGAGGUCACAUGACUAAUUAGUAGGAAGAGCCCAGUCUACAAACCAUCUGACACUCUUCUACAAGCCAUCUGACACUUUUCGACAAAGUGCAAAACACGGUGGUGAGAGACACAUCACUGAGAUUCUGCGCCGGUGCUGGAGGCGGUGACAAUCAUGUGUGAACUACUCUCUCCUGACAAAAGGCCAGGUGGGCUAGAUUAGCCCUAGGAGACCAGCCCAGGGUGGGGGUACAGGCCGACACUCAAUGAAUAAAUGGGAAACGAUGAAGUAAGGAUCACA